AACAAAAUGCCUGAAAAAAGGGUUAUUCUGAUAGAAUAAAUCAUGUAAAUAUAUACUUUUGUUA
rnacentral:tRNA from 1 species